GCGGGGGCGGGGGCGGGGGCGGGACUUUGGGGCAGAGCCGUCUCCCGGAACACCUGGGCCGCGGCUGACGCUCGGGGACCGAGCCCGUCGGUGAAGCCCAACGAUCCCGUCGGGGCUCCCGAAACCGAGGGGUGGGUUACAUUUCUGUGGGUGCACCAACUACCACGAGCGCGGCGGCUCAAUGCUUCUGUCAUUGGAAGUCUGGUCUCCAAACCACUGUCUCAAGCCAGCAUGACUCCAGCUGCCUGGAAUUCCAUUCAUCUCUUAGGGCUGGGAUGUCAGCAGCCACACUUCCCCCGCUGUGUCCUGCGCCAUCGGGCUGGCCCGGACGGAGACACAGGACGCAGCAGCAAACACUACUUGAUGCUGAGAUGUAGUCCCAGGGCCCUCACAGAGGAAAGGCCUAUCCAGGAGUAGCUGAUGCCCAGUGAAGGAGUUGGGAAAUGGACCUGCCUGGAAAUCGAGGACAUGGGGCAAGCAGAAGGAUAAAGGAGAUAAUGAGAUCUCAGCCUGGGCCCUGCCAGAGAUGGAAGUGGGGAGAGUUAGCAAGAAAGGUGUUGAUGAUCAUCAGAUGUUGAAAAUAUACGUGCAGUGUGCUGAUUUGAUAUACAUGUACAAUGGGAAAAGGUUCCCUCCGUAAGCUCACAUGGUAACAUUUCUUUCCUCUCCUUUUCUUUUUUUUUUUUUUUAAAGGAUUAACUUUAUUUGUUCAUGAGAGACACAGAGAGAGGCAGAGACACAGGCAGAGGGAGAAGUAAACUCCUCGCAGGAGCCCGAUAUGGGACUGGAUCCCAGGACCCUGGGGUCACGCCUUGGGCCGAAGGCAGACGCUCAGCCACUAAGUCACCCAGGCGUCUCCAUAGUAACAUUUCUUGUGUGUGUAAGAACAUUUAUAUUCCAGUCUCUUAGCAAAUGCCAGUUAGGUCUUACGGUAUUAUCCACUGUAGUCACCAUGUUUUGCACUAGUCCUCAGACCUUAUUUUCUAUUCAACUUUUAGACUUUAUCAAUCUCAGUGUCCUUCAGGAGCACUCAUAAGUAUGGCUGGUUUGUUCCGCCCACAACUUAAAGGCCCAGGGACUACCUGGGUUAGAUAUGGGAGUUUUGAACAGGUGGUUCAAGGGCUGGAAAAAGUAUAGACAAGUUAGCUUGCAGAGGUAUAGAAUGUGCCUUAAUUCUGUACCUUGUUUUUCUUGUUGAGACUGUAAAGGUGUUGAUCUAUUUAUUUUCACAAAGUAUGUGGAAGAAUGGCAGUAUCUUUGGAAAUCAUGAUUUCCUAAAAGUGGGGAUUAUGAUGUUGGAAUGUUACUGAGAUGGGUUGAGAAAUGUCUCCUGAUUGUCUUCACCAGUGGCAUGAUGGUAGUUACUCUGGAAUCAGGUGACCUUCAGGGGUCCCUGUCAGUAAGGAAGUCCAUGACACUGCAAAGCUUUGAAACAACGGAGUUUCCAGGAUUUCCAUGAGGGAGUUUGUUUCUGAUGCUGAUUAAAUACAUUCUUCUUAAAGAAUUCAACUUUUCUGAGGUUCAACAUGCUACUUCAAGCCCCCCAUUUAUAAAUGAUAAUUGUUCCAAGUUUUCUGUUAUUUUUUUUCUCUGGAAGAAAAUUACGAGAGUCGUUUAACAAAGUAAGGCAAGCAAAUGUAAAGAAAACUCCAGCUAUUGUGUGAAGAAUUUUGAAGAUCGACGAUGACAUGGAGAUUGGCAUCGAAUUUAGGUCUGGAUGAAAAACUCAUAUGCCACCGGGGAAUGUGGACAGUGACCAGAUGGCCAGGCCACUGGGCAUUUGUUGUGAUAACAAUCUCUUGGGAGGUGGUCCCCCCCCCCUUUUCCCUUUUUUAAUAGUGAGAUCAUGACAACCAGCAUUUUGCAGAAUGGAGCCAAGAGAACUGUCACUCUCUCUAAUUUAAGAGGAUGAGUGUAUAGGCUGAAGAAAGUUUGUAAAUGGUAUUAUGACACAAAGAUAAACAGGGCUGCUUCCCAGAGAAGAGAUAUACACGGAGGAAACUUCUUGUUUUUCUCUUCUCUUCCUCCCUUUCUUCUUUGCUUCCUUCCCCUUCCCUUCUCCUCUUUCAUUUUCUCUUCUUCUUCUCUUUAUGAGCUAAGUGUUCAUUAUUCAAUGACCUCAAGUUCACUUGCCUGAGUUCGAAGUCCCGACUUUCAUCAGAAUCCUAACCACUGCCCCCAUCACUCCUUGUCCCAAGAUUUGAAGACAGAGGGCAUCUGUAUGGCUUCCUUUUUCUGUUUCCCUUGUCAGUAUGUCCAUCCUGCCCUAAGUCAUGGUGUUCAGCACCUGAAGCCUCAUGGGUCUUGUCGGCCCUGGUCGGUGGGGGGUUGAACCCAUGGGAGGAGGCGUGAGAGGAGGGUAGACAUGGAUUUACUAACAAGCUGAGGGAACUUUAGUUUCGGGAGCUCCUUCUGUGCCAGCCUCUUUCCAAGGCCCUAGAGAGGCCCUAGCAAUGUGUUCACAUGGUCAAAUGUUCAGUAACAUGUACAAAAGUAAGAUACUUUAACCAUAACUCCACUGGCUUUUUCAUUCCAACUUGCCCCUGUCAUACUUUUCCUCAUGUUGGAGAGUUAAAGUGACCACAGGCAUUUUUGGGGGGAUCUGGCUAAAGGGACACGGUAGAAAGAUAUAUUUGGAUGGUUCACAGUCACUUCUCCACGUAGGGAAGUAAUUGCUAGACAUUGUGGCAUGAGUACUCCUAUUGCCUACCUGUGUCCUCACAGGAAGGCAUAGGGCUAGAGGUGGCAUCAUGGUAUGUGUCCCAUAGUGUCUGACCCUGCACACACGUGUGUAGUGGAGCAGAAACAAAGUUUUAAAUGUAUGGAGCCAGAAGGUAGUCUGUGGGAAAAUGUUACAGAAGUGUGGAAUACAAACAGUCUGUUAAUUUUUCUGGAUUUUGUGGUUUGUGGUAUUUGUUACUUGAAGUGUUUUUCAGUUUGCUGUGUCUGUUCUCAUUUCAAAUAAACAUUCAUUUUUACCUAAUUUUGAA